UAGGGAAUCUUCCGCAAUGGGCGAAAGCUUGACGGAGCAACGCCGCGUGAGUGAUGAAGGUCUUCGGAUCGUAAAACUCUGUUAUUAGGGAAGAACAAAUGUGUAAGUAACUAUGCACGUCUUGACGGUACCUAAUCAGAAAGCCACGGCUAACUACGUGCCAGCAGCCGCGGUAAUACGUAGGUGGCAAGCGUUAUCCGGAAUUAUUGGGCGUAAAGCGCGCGUAGGCGGUUUUUUAAGUCUGAUGUGAAAGCCCACGGCUCAACCGUGGAGGGUCAUUGGAAACUGGAAAACUUGAGUGCAGAAGAGGAAAGUGGAAUUCCAUGUGUAGCGGUGAAAUGCGCAGAGAUAUGGAGGAACACCAGUGGCGAAAGCGACUUUCUGGUCUGUAACUGACGCUGAUGUGCGAAAGCGUGGGGAUCAAACAGG
rnacentral:rRNA from 2 species